CCUACGGGAGGCAGCAGUGGGGGAUAUUGCACAAUGGGGGAAACCCUGAUGCAGCGACGCCGCGUGGGUGAUGAAGGAUUUAGGUAUGUAAAGCUCUAUCAGCAGAGAAGAAAAUGACGGUACCUGACCAAUAAGCCCCGGCUAACUCCGUGCCAGCAGCCGCGGUAAUACGUAGGGGGCAAGCGUUACCCGGAUUUACUGGGCGUAAAGGGAGCGUAGACGGUUUUGUAAGUCAGGUGUGAAAUCCCGUGGCCCAACCCCGGGACUGCUUUUGAAACUGUGUAACUGGAGUGUGGGAGGGGUAGGUGGAAUUCUUGGUGUAGCGGUAAAAUGCGUAGAUAUCAGGAGGAACAC
rnacentral:rRNA from 1 species